GACGGAGGGUGCAAGCGUUGUUCGGAAUUACUGGGCGUAAAGCGUACGUAGGCGGCGGAUUAAGUCGAAUGUUAAAGCCUGGGGCUCAACCCCAGAGAUGCACUCGAUACUGGUUUGCUAGAGGGUGAUAGAGGAAAGUGGAAUUCCGAGUGUAGCGGUGAAAUGCGUAGAUAUUCGGAGGAACAUCAGUAGCGAAGGCGACUUUCUGGGUCACACCUGACGCUGAGGUACGAAAGCGUGGGGAGCAAACGGG
rnacentral:rRNA from 1 species